rnacentral:sRNA from 1 species
GCUGGGUGCAGUGGUGCCCACCUGUAAUCCCAGCAACUUGGGAGGCUGAAGCAGGAGGAUCGAGAGUUCAAAGCCAGCCUCGGCAGAUUAGUGAGGCACUUAGAAACUCAGCAAGACCUUGUCUCUA